AUGAAGAGAGCUUCCGUUUCUUCUGCCAUGGCAAUCCUAGUUAUCUUAUUCAUAUGCUACUCCCUGCCAUGCUCAGCCGCCGACCAAGCUCAUACGGAAGGAAACCAUGUUGGAGUGAGUCCUCCGUCGCCGUGGGUAGCGCCGGGCCCACAUAAUCAAGGUCGUGGACGCUCCAGCACCCCACCGCCAGUGCCGCACCGCAAGAACUUACAGUUACAGCAGGCUGUUCUUCAAGUGCCACUGAUGCCAUGA
rnacentral:rRNA from 1 species